rnacentral:lncRNA from 1 species
AAUUUCUUCCUGAGAAGGGGAGAGUGGGAUUUCCAAAUCAAGUUCUGUCACUUUUGCCUGGACUGGCUUUAAUUAACUGGUAAUUCUUCUGGAAAAUGUGGAGAUAGACCAAAUGCCCUCUAAGGUUCCUUCAAACCGGCCUGCUCUUUGCUGAAUGACAGAAUGUAAGACCAGAAAGAGAUCCUGACCAACAAGUCCAGUUUCUUCACAUAACAGUGAGGGAACCAAGGUAUAUGGAGUAAAGGUGGUUCACAUUAUUGUCAUAAUUAUGAGGAAAAGACAAACAUGUUGCUUUCUAGUCCCAUCUUGCUCUUAAAAAAAAACAAACAAAAAGCACAUUGUGAAAAUAUCAUGUAUUCAAGAGUUGUAAAGUAUCUAUGUGCAAUUCAGUACCUCAGAAGCUUCAUAAACCCCUCCUUCUGAUCACAUUCCCUUUCUAUCCCUAGGGAAGAAACCAUGCUCUUGAAUAGUUUAUUAAUCAUUCUCAUGCUUUUCCAUAUAGUUACACAAUAUAUUUUAAUGUCAUAGAAAUUGACAAUACUAGAUUAUUCUUUGGUGGCUUUUUUCUUUCAUUCAACAUGGUUUUGAGGUUCAACCAUGUCAGUGCCCUACUUGUUGCUUAUUCAUUUUCCUUUUGAUCUACUAUUUCACUGUAUGAACAUACCAUCAUCUAUCCAUUAUGCUGUUGAUGGACUUUGGAUUAUAUCUGGCUGGAAUUUUUUGUUUGUUUUGAUUUGUUUUGUGUGUGAUUUUCACAUAUGCGAGUUUCUCAACUCUGGAGUUGAUAUGUGAAGGCAGAGCCAGCAAUUGCGAAAGUGACAUUUGAGCUGAAUCUUGGAAGGAGAUGUGAGGAUUGUCAGAAGAGUGUUCCAAAGAGAAGGAUCAAUAUACAGAGGCUCCAGGGAGAGAAGUCUUGUAGUGGUCUAGAUGAAGAGCAAGAAGGUCCAGUGGGUAGGGCAUUGGGAACCCAUGGGAGAGUGGUAAGAGAUCUAAAAGGUAGCAAAAGUCAGAUCAUUUGGACAUCAUGUAAAGGUAGAUGCAAUUGAAGUCUGGUGAAGAGGCCUCUCUGGGUGAUGCAUGGAGAAUGGGUUAUAUCGGGGACAAAACAUAAGGCCUGGAGAGCAAUGAGGAGGCUGCUGUGGUUGUCCAGGCAAGAAAUAGUAGAGGCUUAGAUAAGGAAUAUUGGAUAUGGAGAGAUUUGACUGACUCAGAAGUAUUUUCAAGAUAGAGAGAGGUGGAUUGGAUAUGAAGGGUAAGAAAAAGAGAGCAGUCUAGCUGGAAUCCUACAUUUUUACCUUGAAAAACAAGGCAACUAGUCAUGGGCGUUACUGAGAUGCAGAAGGCUAGGGGAAGGACAGAGGGAGUUACCAUGAUGCAGAAUGCUAGGGGAAGCAGUAGAGAAAAUAAAUGUUUUUAUUGUGGCAGUGUUAGGUUUGAGAUGCUAAAUAGACAUCCAGGGGGAGUACCUGGUAGGCAGUUGGAUCUGUGAAUCUGGAGAAGUAAGUUUGGAGUAGUUGGCAUAUCCCUGGUAGUUAGAAUCCUGGGAUAGGUUAAGACUCCUAGAGGAAGUAUACAAGGGAAGAGGUCCAAGAUCUUACCCUCAGGUACCCCCAACAGUUUGGGGACAAGCUGAGGGAGAAAAGGUAGCAAAGGAUGUGGAAGCAUAAAGAGUACCAAAAGGCUGGUAUAUAGAAGCAUGGAGAUGAGACUUUCUGGAAGGAAUGUCUGAGGUCAGAUCAGAUGAGGACAAAGUAAGGAUAGAUAGAUGGUAUCCUUAGAAAAAACCACUUUACCUAAGUGGAGGAUGAUACCUAACCAGAGUGGAUGCAAGUGAAUAUGGAGGUUAGAAAGUGGAGACUGUGAUCAAGAUCAAUGAAGGGAAGAAGAAAUACAGCUGGGAGCUAGAGAGGGAUAUCUGGUGAGAGGAGGGCUUUGUUUAUUGAAGAUGGAAGAGGUUAGAGAACGUUUACGUGCUGAUGGGAAGAUUCCUCUAGAGAGAGAAACAGUGGCAUAGCAGGGUGGCCAUGAAAGGAGAAAGCCUUUGAGAAAGUCUGAGAGGACCCCAACACACGAGGAAGAGUAAACUUGUGAAUUGAGCAAAGGUGCUCACAAAGAUUUAUAUUUAAUAUGCUCAUUAUAGAGUAAUUUCUAACAGGAAACUCUGGGAAACAACCUCCAUGUUCCACAAUAGGAGAAUACUAUCUUAAAAAUUACAGCAGGGGGACUCUGCAAGCAGAGACGGGAUUAAGAUGGCAGAAUAGAAGGACUGGAGCUCAACUUCUCUCCUAAAAACAACAAAAUUCACAACUAAAGACUGAGCACACUUCACCAAAAUGGACCAGAAACCUUAAAAAAGAUACCCUACUCCAGAAGAAAAAGAGGAGGGCACAUCAAGAGGUAGGAGGGGUGAUUUCAUGAUAUAAAAAACCCCAUACCUCCUGGGUGGGAGCUCCACAGACUGGAAACUAACUGGUUCACAGAGACUCACCUACAGGAGUGAGAGUUCUGAGCCACACAUCAAACUCUCAUGUAUGGGGAUCUGGCACAGGGAGAAAGCGCCCCGGAGCAUCUGGCAUUAAAGGCCACUGGGGCUUGUGUGCAGGAGCUCCACAGGACUGGGGGAAACAGAGACCCCAUUCUUAAAAGGCGCACACAGACUUUCACGUGCACUGAGUCCCAGGGCAAAGCAAAGUCUCCAAGGGAAUCUGGGUCAAACCUGACUGCAGUUCUUGGAGGACCUUCCUGGGAAAACAGGGGUGAAUGUGGCUUGUUGUGAGGGAAGGACAUUGAAAGCAAAGCUUUCGGGAAUAUUCAGCAGCAGUGUCUUUCUCUGGAGGUGGCCCUUUUGGGAAAAUCUGGCCCCACCAUCAGCCAGCUGCUGAGAAGCCCCAGGCCAAACAACCCAGGUGAGAUCACAGCCCCACCCCUCAGUAAACAGGCUGCCUAAAGACCCCUCAGGCACACAGCUGCCUCUAAUCCCAACCAGAGACUAAGCCCCACCCACCAGAGGGAUUAGAAUGGGCUCCUCCUACCAGAGGGCAGGCAUCAGCCCCUCCCAUCAGGAAGCCUACACCAAGCCCCCAUACCGACUUCAGCCACAGGGGGGCAGACAUCAGAAGUAAGAGAGGCUACAACUCUAUUAUCUGUAAAAAGGUCACCACACCAAAAACCUAUAAAAAUGAAAAGGCAGAGAACUAUAACUCAGAUGCGGGAGAAAGAAAAAACCCCAAAAAAACAGUUAAGCCAUGAGGAGAUUCUCAGCCUCCAGGAAAAAGACUUUAGAUUGUUGAUGCUGAAGAAGAUGCAAGACAUUGGAAAUAAACUGGAGGCAAAAAUGGAUAACUUACAGGAAACACUGACCAAAGAGAUACAAGAUAUAAAACUGAAACAAGAAGAGAUGCAAAAUACAAUAACUGAAAUAAAAAAUUCACUAGAAGCAGCUAACAGCAGAAUACAGGAGGCAGAAGAACGAAUAAGCGAGGUGGAGGACAGAUUAGUGGAAAUUACGGAUGCAG